AAGGUGCUAGUAACAAAAAUUACACCGCCUUGUCAAGGCGGAAUUGUGGGUUAGAGCCCCGCGCAUCUUA
rnacentral:tRNA from 1 species